GCCGGGCUAGCUCAAUCGGUAGAGCGUGCGGCUCUUACCAGCAGUUAGUAAAAUAACUGCAUCCAGGUUACCGCAAGGCUGCGGGUUCGACCCCCGCGUUCGGCU